UAAAAAGUUCGUAGUUGGAUUUCUGUGAAGGAUAACCGGUCCGCACUAUGUGCGUGUAUCUGUUUGUCCUUUGCAUCCUCGCGGAAUACGUCACUGUGCUUCACUGCAUGGGGCGGGCUUCGCGACUUUUACUUUGAGGAAAUUAGAGUGUUCACGGCAGGCUCACGCCAUGAAUAUAUUAGCAUGGAAUAAUAAUAUAGGACUCCUGUCCUAUUUCGUUGGUCUCGGGACGGGAGUAAUGAUUAAGAGGAACAGUUGGGGGCAUUCGUAUUUCAUUGUCAGAGGUGAAAUUCUUGGAUUUAUGAAAGACGAACUUCUGCGAAAGCAUUUGCCAAGGAUGUUUUCAUUAAUCAAGAACGAAAGUUGGGGGCUCGAAGAUGAUUAGAUACCAUCCUAGUCUCAACCAUAAACGAUGCCGACUAGGGAUUGGCGGAUGUUAAUUGAUGACUCCGCCAGCACCUUAUGAGAAAUCAAAGUUUUUGGGUUCCGGGGGGAGUAUGGUCGCAAGGCUGAAACUUAAAGGAAUUGACGGAAGGGCACCACCAGGAGUGGAGCCUGCGGCUUAAUUUGACUCAACACGGGAAAACUCACCAGGUCCAGACAUAGUAAGGAU
rnacentral:rRNA from 1 species